UGGGGAAUAUUGGACAAUGGGCGAAAGCCUGAUCCAGCCAUUCCGCGUGUGUGAAGAAGGUCUUCGGAUUGUAAAGCACUUUAAGUUGGGAGGAAGGGCAGUAAGCGAAUACCUUGCUGUUUUGACGUUACCGACAGAAUAAGCACCGGCUAACUCUGUGCCAGCAGCCGCGGUAAUACAGAGGGUGCAAGCGUUAAUCGGAAUUACUGGGCGUAAAGCGCGCGUAGGUGGUUCGUUAAGUUGAAUGUGAAAGCCCCGGGCUCAACCUGGGAACUGCAUCCAAACCUGUCGAGCUAGAGUAGGGCAGAGGGUGGUGGAAUUUCCUGUGUAGCGGUGAAAUGCGUAGAUAUAGGAAGGAACACCAGUGGCGAAGGCGACCACCUGGGCUCAUACUGACACUGAGGUGCGAAAGCGUGGGGAGCAAACAGG
rnacentral:rRNA from 1 species